GGCUCAGGAUGAACGCUAGCUACAGGCUUAACACAUGCAAGUCGAGGGGAAACGAUAGAGAAAGCUUGCUUUUUCUAGGCGUCGACCGGCGCACGGGUGAGUAACACGUAUCCAACCUGCCGUCUACUCUUGGACAGCCUUCUGAAAAGGAAGAUUAAUACAAGAUGGCAUCAUGAGUCCGCAUGGUGGAACUAUUAAAGAAUUUCGGUCAUCGAUGGGGAUGCGUUCCAUUAGCUGGUUGGCGGGGUAACGGCCCACCAAGGCAACGAUGGAUAGGGGUUCUGAGAGGAAGGUCCCCCACACUGGUACUGAGACACGGACCAGACUCCUACGGGAGGCAGCAGUGAGGAAUAUUGGUCAAUGGGCGAGAGCCUGAACCAGCCAAGUCGCGUGGAGGAAGACUGCCCUACGGGUUGUAAACUCCUUUUACCUGGGAAUAACGGGCGCUACGCGUAGCGCUGUGCAUGUACCGGGAGAAUAAGCAUCGGCUAAUUCCGUG
rnacentral:rRNA from 1 species